CUGGACACACCUGGCAGAGUCACCUGUGCCGUUAUUGGGGUGCCAGGUGUGCCCGUGCCCAUCCUGACCCCGCCCUGGGCACACCUGGGGCACCUGGAGGCACCUGGAUACACCUGGAUGGACGUGGAUACACCUGGAGGGGUCACCUGUGCCGUUAUUGGGGUGCCAGGUGUGCCCGUGCCCAUCCUGACCCCGCCCUGAGGCACCUGGGCACACCUGGAGGCACCUGGAUGAAUGUAGACACACCUGGAGGGGUCACCUGUGCCAUUAUUGGGGUGCCAGGUGUGCCUGUGCCCAUCCUGACCCCGCCCUGGCACACCUGGGCACACCUGGAUACACCUGGAUGAACGUGGAUACACCUGGCAGGGUCACCUGUGCGGUUACUGGGGUGCCAGGUGUGCCCGUGCCCCUGCUGCCCCCGCCCUGGGCACACCUGGGCACACCUGUGCCUUUACUGGGGGGGGUUGGGCAGCCAAGAAUCGAGUCCAGGUGUGUGGGGGAGGGGCUCAGGUGGGUCCCAGGUGUGCAGUGGGCGUGGCCCAGGUGUGUAAACCCUUCCCAGGUGUGCAGUGGGCGUGGCCCAGGUGUGUAAACCCUUCCCAGGUGUGCAGUGGGCGUGGCCCAGGUGUGCAGUGGGCGUGGCCCAGGUGCGCCUGCAGCCCCUCCUCCCCCACCCCGAGCAAUAAACACACCUGGACACAC